rnacentral:rRNA from 1 species
UUGGAGGGCAAGUCUGGUGCCAGCAGCCGCGGUAAUUCCAGCUCCAAUAGCGUAUAUUAAAGUUGUUGCAGUUAAAAAGCUCGUAGUUGAAUUUCGGGGUCAGCAGGUUGGUCGUGCCAAUGGUAUGCACUGGCCUUGCUGAUUCCUCCCUCUUGAUGAGCCGUAAUGUCAUUAAUUUGGUGUUGCGAGGAAUCAGGACUGUUACUUUGAAAAAAUUAGAGUGUUUAAAGCAGGCAAGCGCUUGAAUACAUUAGCAUGGAAUAAUGAAAUAGGACGUUUGAUCUUAUUUUGUUGGUUUCUAAGAUUGACGUAAUGAUUAAUAGGGAUAGUUGGGGGCAUUAGUAUUCAAUUGUCAGAGGUGAAAUUCUUGGAUUUAUUGAAGACUAACUACUGCGAAAGCAUUUGCCAAGGAUGUUUUCAUUAAUCAAGAACGAAAGUUAGGGGAUCGAAGACGAUCAGAUACCGUCGUAGUCUUAACCAUAAACUAUGCCGACUAGGGAUCGGAUGAUGUUAAUUUUUUAAUGACUCAUUCGGCGCCUUACGGGAAAC